GGUAGUCCUAGGGGCUUCUUCAGAACUUGGGGAGCAUGUUUCACCAGGAAGACCAACUUCACCAGGGUCAACAUUGUCCAAAGGACCCUGGGGUCCCUUCCCUGGGGAAAGACAAGCUCGCCGAGAUGAAGACCAGGGUGUGAGCAGCAACAGCACGAAGGGCGCACGUGGCACUUUCUGGCUUAGGGCGCCGCAGCGGCUGGCAUCACGGGAAGGAAAACGCACUGGGUGGGUGCUCCUGGAGGACGCUGCUAUCGCCAGGGCAUGGACAGACAGGCUCACAUACUCUGUUUCCAUUAGCUGAGCCUGAGUCCCAGGCAUUAUUUGUCCCUGAGCGGGGACAUGACGUCAGGGUCACAAAGGCCUGAGAAGCUGACUUGGGAGUGAGA
rnacentral:lncRNA from 1 species